rnacentral:lncRNA from 1 species
GUCAAUUUGAUAGCGACUACCGAGUCCUAAGUUAGGACCCAUGAGUACAGGAAGAUGGUCCAUCAUCAUUGCUGCAGAAUAAUUUCGUCAGUUAACUCCCAGUUGCAAUUUGCUACCAGCCACUAUAAAACAGAUGAACCACGACAGCAUAAAAAAACAAAUCAUCCCUCGAGUCAGAUAUGAAAACCGAUUUAAAAUACACGACAACGUCGUGGCCCAUGGGCAUCGCGUCUAGGUAUGGCGCUAGAGUGGUGAUGGCAGGGUGGCGGCGGGGUCGGUGUAUGUCGCGGACAACAGGGUGAGAACUUCUAGGCUCAUGUCAUAACAAUAUAAUCGUUAUCCAUAAGGCAAACCUGAAAGAGAGACAAGUUGGUUAGGGGUGUGGUAAGUCCAAAACAGGUGCUGAGUUCAUAGCUGGUUCCACAAGCGUGCACACAAGUAAUCUUAUAACAUUUAGGGUCUGACACAAGUAGGACAAAAGAAAAUCCUUGCAUUUAAUACAAACAAUAUUUCAAAUUUGGAGGGAUAAAAAUAUAGACCUAGAAGCCUACCAUUAGGGAACAAGGGCAUACAUGUGCUUCGGUCAGAACUAUAUUACACCAGUUGCAACAGAUAUGCAUGUUUGGAAGUAGUAGAUCUGUUUAGACUUGAAACUUUGAUCAAAUCUGUUUAUACUUGAAACUUUGAUCAAGUCAAAGUGAAACUGCACUGUACACAAGAAACAUAAUUGUAUUAAUUUGUUAAACCAUUAAUUGAAAAUGCGUAGAAAAAUAGCAAGCAUUACUUCAUAGCACAGAACUGUAGAUCACUAUAAGAAGAAGAACAUGCAAUAGAACAAAGCAUUUUGAAAAUAAAACACGAUUUAAAGAUCUCAUGCAGUCCAUUCUUCAUCAGUGACAUAUUUCUAUCUAGCUGUUAGAAGUAUGACUCAUGAAUUCAAGGGCCACAGUUGGAACAAAUUUAUGGUUGUAAUAGCUUUCCAUCUAUCGAGGAUAUUAUAAUCGAUAGAGAUGACAAUUCAGGCUAUCAGAUGAUAUAAUAAAAAGGCAAAAUAAAUUAGCAAGUAUUAUAAGGAAAAGGAACUAUUUAUUUAUAUUCCUAACAAACCAUCAUGCAUCCAAGCUCAAGUAAUCUCCUUCUCACUGAAAAGCUAGUCCCAGGAGGAGAUCUGCGCCGCGACACAGGAGGGGGUCGCGCGGACGGGCGGGGGAGGAGGGUGGGGAUCCUCGGCAGGCAGAACUGUGCACCAACUCUUGUGGACGC